rnacentral:rRNA from 1 species
AGCACCGAAUCCCGCGGCCGAUACCGGGCGCCGGGAAAUGUGGUGUUAGGGAGGAUCCGUUUAUCCCGAGGUCGUGCGGCGCGUCCAAGUCCUUCUUGAACGGGGCCACAGCCCAUAGAGGGUGCCAGGCCCGUAGCGACCGCUGCCGAUCGCGGGAGGAUCUCUCCUCAGAGUCGGGUUGCUUGAGAGUGCAGCCCUAAGUGGGUGGUAAACUCCAUCUAAGGCUAAAUAUGACCACGAGACCGAUAGCGAACAAGUACCGUGAGGGAAAGUUGAAAAGCACUUUGAAGAGAGAGUUCAAGAGUACGUGAAACCGUUCAGGGGUAAACCUGAGAAACCCGAAAAGUCGAAAGGGGAAAUUCAUUCGCGUCUCGACCGUCGGAGUGGAGCGAUCGAGCGACGGACGGCGUACGCGUCGUCCGCGCCUUUCGUUUUACGUUUCGGCGUCGAACGCGUGCACUUUUCCCCUAGUAGGACGUCGCGAUCCGUUGGGCGUCGGUCUAAGGUCCGCGGUGGAGCCCGGGCGUGCGUCUUCGGACGUUCGCGCUCGGACCCGCGGUAUCCCGGCCGACUCGCUCGACGGUAUACAGAUGGCGCGGGGCCGCUAUUUCAAUUAGCGUUCGGCCCGCGGCAAGCGCGUACGGUGUUGUCGACGAUCGGACCUGGUGCCGGUCUCGUCCCCGGACGACUGUUGGCCGCGGUGUUUUCUCGAACAGACCUCGUUAUGAAACGCCGAUCUGCGACGCUAUAGCUUUGGGUACUUUCAGGACCCGUCUUGAAACACGGACCAAGGAGUCUAGCAUGUGCGCGAGUCAUUGGGACAUAACUAAACCUAAAGGCGCAAUGAAAGUGAAGGUCCGUCUCGCGCGGACCGAGGGAGGAUGGGCGAUUCGUAUUCCGUACGGUCGCUCCGCACUCCCGGGGCGUCUCGUUCUCAUCGCGAGAAGAGGCGCACCAAGAGCGUACACGCUGGGACCCGAAAGAUGGUGAACUAUGCCUGGUCAGGACGAAGUCAGGGGAAACCCUGAUGGAGGUCC